GGAGGUGUGUCUGAGUGGUUGAAGGAGAUAGUUUCGAAAACUAUUGUUCCGAGUAAUCGGAAUCGCAGGUUCGAAUCCUGCCACCUCCGCAA
rnacentral:tRNA from 1 species